UAAGGAAUAUUGGGCAAUGGACGCAAGUCUGACCCAGCCAUGCCGCGUGAAGGAUGACUGCCCUAUGGGUUGUAAACUUCUUUUGUACGGGAAAAAACUCUCGGUCGUGCACCGGGACUGAUGGUACCGUGCGAAUAAGCAUCGGCUAACUCCGUGCCAGCAGCCGCGGUAAUACGGAGGAUGCAAGCGUUAUCCGGAUUCAUUGGGUUUAAAGGGUGCGCAGGCGGAAUUGUAAGUCAGUGGUGAAAUCUUCCGGCUUAACCGGGAAACUGCCAUUGAUACUGCUGUUCUUGAGUAUAGUUGAAGUGGGCGGAAUGUGUCAUGUAGCGGUGAAAUGCUUAGAUAUGACACAGAACACCGAUAGCGAAGGCAGCUCACUAAGCUGUAACUGACGCUCAUGCACGAAAGCGUGGGGAUCAAACAGG
rnacentral:rRNA from 1 species